UUAUUGUCUCUUUUUCCUUUUUCUUUCUUACUUUUCAUAGACUUAGUGAAGCUACACCAUUCCCAAGUUGAUUAAAGUAAAAAACAAAAACAAAAAAAUCCCUGUCAGAAUUUUGCUUCUCAUGGCACUUAAGGAAUCUGGGUGGCAUGGGAAUAUGGACAGGCUUUUAAAAUUCUUUCAUUAUUGACUUCUACCCGAUGACUGACACUACUGUUAGGGCUCCAGCUGCAAGUUAAGACUAACAGAUCUCUUCCACAGGUGUCUCAGGAACACAGCAGCAGGUAGAUCCAAAAAUAACCUGGAGGAGAACCAGAGCAAGAAAGGCUAACGGACGUUCUACACUGGGUCAGACUUGAGACUACCAACUAUAAAGGACGUCGGCUUUAACACGUGUGCUGCGUGGAGAAAAUAAGAAAGAGCUGAACACUGUUAGAAUUUUACCUGCCUUGAUUUAAGUGGCCAGUUUGGCUUGUUUCCUGCGGUGCACAACAAGAUUACAAAGUGAUUACAAAGGAAGCCGGACUUCACUUUUGGGGGUGAUGGACAUGACCACAGUCUUCAUUGUUGUGGUCAUUUCACAGGUGCAUACUUCUGUCGGAACUUACCAAGCUAUACACUUUAAAUAUGUGCAGUUUAUUGUAUGUCAUCAUGCAGGCAUGACAGAGGGCUUACCUCUUGCCUUCUAGGUCACUUCUCACAAUGUCCCCUCAGCACCUAACCCUAUACCCACCGCUUAUUUCUAGGUUAUGUUAGUAAUGUAACAAAGAAUAAUAUUAAAAGCUAAUGAUUAAUGUUUAUACUAAUGAUUGAUAAUUGUCCAUGAUCAUCUCUAUAUCCAAUUUGUAUGAUAACGAUUCUUUAUUCUAACUAUUUCCUUUAUUAUACUGCUACAGUUUGUGCCUUCAGUCUCUUGCCUCAGCACCUGGGUAAUCCUUCACCCACACUUUCCAAUCUGACUCUGGCAUAACAUUAUGUGACAAAGAAGAAAAUCAAAAUAUUUUACCCCAAAACAUGUUUCUUUACCAUAAUUUGUUCUCAGAACCGCCUGAGGGCUGUGUCAUGGACCAUGGUCACUCAUAUUUGGCUCAGAAUAAAUCUCUUUAAAUAUUUUACAGAGUUUGACUUUCUUCAUUGACAUCUGUAUGUAUCCACCCAGUGGCUAUACUCUGACUGCAUCUAUCCAGCAGUGUGCUGAAGCCAGCCCAUACUGGUUGGUGAGAACUGAUUGUGCACAUGUCUUCCAAUUCCACAUUCGGUGACAUCACCAUAGUAGCUUAAA
rnacentral:lncRNA from 10 species